AUAUUAUGAUUUGGGCAUCUGUACAAUAAAAUUUUAAAACUUUCCCACGAGUCAUCUAGGGAUUCAAUUUCCUCCUGCUCAAAAUUUGUAAUUUCUGCUCUUCGCUC